AACGCACGAGACCUGCGGACCUGCGGAAGGAUCAUUAUCGAGUGCGAACCCCCUUGUAAAAAAGAGGGGUUACCUCCCGUCCUUUGUUGGGCACCCCUUUCCAUUGGAGGGGGUUGUCUUUCAUACCUUCUGCUUCGGCGGGGUUAUCCCGCCGGAUCAACCUCCAAAAAUUCUUAGUCAAACUGUUCAGUCCGAGAACUUUUGAAAAGCGAAAAAAAACUUUUAACAACGGAUCUCUAG
rnacentral:misc_RNA from 1 species